UGCUUUUUUCGCCCAGGCGGAGCUCGACCGCAAACCCAAUUGAUGGUGUCAUUUAUCGACGAGCAUCGUGCUCAGUUUAGGGUCGAGUCGAUUUGUAGCCAGCUGCCAAUCGUCCCA
rfam:Halomonas sp. QHL1 Scaffold1, whole genome shotgun sequence.